AAACUUUCCAGAGGAAAAGGAUUACAUACCUAGAGCUAUCUAUGAAAUGACGUAGCCUACUUUGCAAAGUAAAAGUAAUCGAAAUAAAAUUGUAUUUUAUAUUGUAAUGAACUGCAAAGAAUGUAACUAUAUGGAGGGAGAAAGCAGCUAUCAAGAAAGGAAAUUUCACUCUUGAUUAGGUACCAAUCAUGUUUUAAUAAGAAGAUUACAAUUUAAAAUUAGGAAAAGGAAUGAUCCCCCAAGUUGUUGGGACUCUGCAUAAAUGCUCUACUGGAUGUGGAAUUUGUUUAAUAGAUGAUUAGGGCUGAAGCCUGGAUAUCAUUUGGAUGCAUUCUCAGCACGGUAGACCUGAGGAUGUCAAACUCGCACCCCUCGAACACUCAACAAUAAUUAUGAUAUUUUUUAUUUUUAUUAAAAAUGAAAUUUUACAUAAGUUGAUUUGUAUAAAUUGCAAUAAUGGUGAUAUGCAAGAAAUUAAUAAGUGAAUGGCAUUUGAAAUUUAAGGUAGACUUAAUUUUUUGAAGAAAGUUAUGUCUCAAAUUUACAAUAAAUUGGGAUCUGGUCUUAUUACACUGGCUUUGGUUGCAACAGCAAUAA